UUAAAGUAUUUUCAGAAACACGGAAGUUUGCGAAAAAAUGAAAUUUUUAUUAACUGUUAUAUAUUUGUGUGGCAUUGUUGCUGUAUUGGCUCAGCCUCCCUGCGGGUUUAUUUCAUACAACGUUCGAGCCGGUGAACAAUAUUGUGAGCGUCAAUGCCCAAAUCCAGUCAUUGAGGUUUCGCUACGCUGUACCCGUUCCCCUACUACGACCACCGUAAGAAUCUGUCCAGCGAGUUGCUGCCGUCAGGGGUCGCGGUGUAUAAGGGUCACACAAUAAUAAUAAAUAUCUGACAGCACAUACAUACACUUACCCUGAAAAGCUUUUCUAAACUUUUGGAAGUUGUAGGACAAAUAGAGGUAUUGUGAUGAGUAGAGGGCACAAUGGAUCUCUUUAGGUCUUAGUAAAUAACUC